AUUGAACGCUGGCGGCAGGCUUAACACAUGCAAGUCGAGCGGAGAUGAGGUGCUUGCACCUUAUCUUAGCGGCGGACGGGUGAGUAAUGCUUAGGAAUCUGCCUAUUAGUGGGGGACAACAUUCCGAAAGGAAUGCUAAUACCGCAUACGCACUACGGGGGAAAGCAGGGGAUCUUCGGACCUUGCGCUAAUAGAUGAGCCUAAGUCGGAUUAGCUAGUUGGUGGGGUAAGGGCCUACCAAGGCGACGAUCUGUAGCGGGUCUGAUAGGAUGAUCCGCCACACUGGGACUGAGACACGGCCCAGACUCCUACGGGAGGCAGCAGUGGGGAAUAUUGGACAAUGGGCGGAAGCCUGAUCCAGCCAUGCCGCGUGUGUGAAGAAGGCCUUUUGGUUGUAAAGCACUUUAAGCGAGGAGGAGGCUACCUGGAUUAAUACUCUAGGAUAGUGGACGUUACUCGCAGAAUAAGCACCGGCUAACUCUGUGCCAGCCGCCGCCGUAAGAC
rnacentral:rRNA from 1 species